UCGCGCCAGCUUUUUCGUGCCUCUCAAGCUUCUGCCUGCAUCUCCUCACUUCUGUCCAGCAUCCGGUUUGUCCGCCUCCUCGCCCUGGCUCAGUCUGGUCGACUUUUGCCGCACACACCUUUCGAAAGCGAAUGGCCGCCUCGACCAAUGUUGACGGCUCCAGCCAGGCUGGCACGUCGAUGAAGAGGGCUCAUGAUAGCUCUUCGGACUCGGAAGAAUGCUCGGAUGGCGCAGCAGGCGGUCGUCCAGGUGGAAAGGGCAAAGUGCGCAGGGUGAACAAGUCGCGGAGCUGGCCGCAGUCAAUGGACGCACAUCGUGUCGAAGCCGCUCGACGCAUCCCUAGUUGCCGACAUCUUCAGAUCUCGUUCGAGGGAAUGUUGUUGUCGCGAAAGGAAGCUAUUGCAGAGUAUAUACGAAGGCGAACAGGCAUAGUUCGGACUGCUGCCCAAGUAGGCGGUCGCAUGCGUACGUGACAGAAGCGAACAAAGACGGACGGAAGGUCCACCUUCGCAGACUUGGUCAAUCACAUGCUCAGCAGUCGAGACUUCGCCGAGAUCAACUUCCCUGAGAUCCUCGGACCCGACUUGUUUCCGAUGUCGGCGUCCAUCUCACUGCGGCAGAAGGGAUCUCGCUCAGUCCGUGACGCCGCUACACAGACGGACUCGUCGUUCGCGACCUCAGCACCUCCCCAACCGGCAUGUGCUUGCAACGCCGACAACGCGCGGUUAUCGAUACUCGUCCCUCCAUGCAAGGUACCUACGCCGCAGCAUUCACCAUCCCCCUUGACGGCUGCCAACGCUGCUCCGUCCUUGAUUUACGUCACCGUCGACGCCUCAUUGGCGGCGCACCUCGCUCCGGCGCUCCCGACUCUUCGAGCUGCCGGCAUCUCGUCCACUAUCGACAUCGCCAACGUCCUACUUCUUGAAGAUGGCAUCUCAGACUCUUCUGCGCCUAGCUGGGCGAGUCGGAGAAAUUGGACACGGCGGAGCUUGAGCAGGCGAAGCAGCGGCUUCAGGACGCUAGGCGCGAGAUCCGACGGAGGUAG
rnacentral:misc_RNA from 1 species